rnacentral:rRNA from 1 species
GAUGAACGCUGGCGGCGUGCCUAAUACAUGCAAGUCGAGCGAAUGGAUUAAGAGCUUGCUCUUAUGAAGUUAGCGGCGGACGGGUGAGUAACACGUAGGUAACCUGCCCAUAAGACUGGGAUAACUCCGGGAAACCGGGGCUAAUACCGGAUAACAUUUUGAACCGCAUGGUUCGAAAUUGAAAGGCGGCUUCGGCUGUCACUUAUGGAUGGACCCGCGUCGCAUUAGCUAGUUGGUGAGGUGACGGCUCACCAAGGCAACGAUGCGUAGCCGACCUGAGAGGGUGGUCGGCCACACUGGGACUGAGACACGGCCCGGACUCCUACGGGAGGCAGCAGUAGGGAAUCUUCCGCAAUGGACGAAAGUCUGACGGAGCAACGCCGCGUGAGUGAUGAAGGCUUUCGGGUCGUAAAACUCUGUUGUUAGGGAAGAACAAGUGCUAGUUGAAUAAGCUGGCACCUUGACGGUACCUAACCAGAAAGCCACGGCUAACUACGUGCCAGCAGCCGCGGUAA